rnacentral:lncRNA from 1 species
AUAGUAAAAAUAUAAGACCAUUUAAUAUAAGAGAAAAAUAUGUUAUUAAGACAUUUCUUUAAAGAUAUAGGUUAACUAAUAAUGACAUAUUAUGACUUUUCUUGAUAUUUCUUCUUAACUCUUUAAAAACUCAAUAGAAUGCAUUAUUGUAUAUGAGAUAAGCAAUUGUUCCUUUAGCCACAAAUUAUGAGUUAUGUAAUUCUAUAGGUUUUCCAUCCUUUAAUUCAUCUUUAUAAACUAUUAGCUUAAUACCAAUACAUAUUUCUAAUUUUUUUAUUCUUCUUAAUAUAAAUUUUGAGUUGAGUUUAAUUUUUAAUUGUUCUCUUAUAAUUGGUAUAGGUCCCAAUGUCUUUGAAUUCACAAAUGAAUCUAUAGCAUUGAAGAAACUAUUAUAUAGGCCAUAAUUAAAUCUAACAAGUUUAGCUAAAAGGUACUUAUAAAUAAAAUUAUCAUACUUUGGUUUUUCUUUAAGUUUACGAUCAUAAUCUCUUUAUUCAGGAGGUAAUUCAUAAGCAAGAAGUGAUGUACUUAAGACCUCUCUUGAAAGUUGAUCACGAUUUUUGAUAAUUAUACCUUGUGUACAUAUUUUAGACAUUCCUUGUUGGUAUUUUCUCUCAUAUUGUAGAACAGGAUUAACAGUUUCAAUUACAGGAAUCAUACUACCAUAAAACAGAGAAGUAAUGAUUUGACAUUAAUAGACAAUGGAAGAUGACAAUAUUCAAUUACACACUCACACAUAUUCAUACUCACACACACUAGUCUUAAUGUAACACACUUGCCAAAACCCACUUGCGAGAAGAUGACCAGAAACUAAUAAUGAACUACGGAAACUGCGAACCUAUGAGAUUCGUCAAAACAAUCCUCCAGAUGACUGACACCCAUAUGAAGUGUAGUAGUCACAAGUCUGGAGAAGCAUGACCAUCACCAAGAAACAGAUUAGUCAUGAAGUGUGUAUAUUGUUACCUCCCGGCUCUGCGCCAUGUGAAACCCCGUGAAGUGCGCCCGAAACCGUACAUAUCCGGCUG